UGUUAGGCCGAGUGGUUUAAAAUGUUAGACUUAAGUUCUAAUUCUUGAAAGAGGGCGUGGGUUCAAAUUCCACUCAGAUGAA